CCCCUAGUUUAAGAUGUUAGGAUAAGUUUUAGGCUAAACCAUGAAAUUCUGGUAAUAAAGAAUUCUAUUGUACUAAAACCAUUAUCGCGAACGUACGUUUUCUUAACCGGCAUCUUUUAAAUUCGCUUAUACACAGGCGCGUUCUCAGUAAUUCGCGCAACCCAAUUAAUUUUUUCGUUCAGAAACAAAAUCAGUUUAACCCAUAUACUAAAUUUUUUACUUUUUUCUUUCUAUUUUUUAAUUACUAAAAUUUUCAAAUGAUUCUUACAUGAAUUUUGAACCAAUGCUUAUGAUUUGAAAUAUAAUUUUUGUAUUUAUUAGUUGUAUUGAACUUUAACAUAAAGAGAUAAAAAGUAUCCUUGUCCUUACCCUGCUUCUAAGCUACCUCCCCACCAAUUUUCAGCCAAAUCGGUCCCGCCGUUCCUGAGUUAUAAGUGGUGUAACUAAUAUGACUUUUUUUAUUUAUGUGCAUAAAGGACAGAAAAUAGCAAAAAAGAAAAAAACAACAAACACAUGCGAGAGCUGUAGCACAUGAAAAUUUUCAUUAGCUCUGCUCUACUACCGCUCCCUUUUUUUGCGACCGCUACAUCAAUUAUAUAAAUUUUGCUGCUAUAGAGUAGUAAAUGAAAACCCUGGUCAUAUGAUUCUUUGUUUACAAGCCAUUAAGUGUCGCCGUGUCACAGAGAUUAUACUGAAUAAGUGUAUUUUGAUUCAUAAAAUUUGGUUUUUCUUAUCAAACGACAAAACUUUUUGAACAACCUGGUAUAUGUGCUUAUGCUGCCUUAGUGUUUCUGCGUUUUGUUUGUUCUUUCCUUCUCUGUUCUGUUUGUUUGUUUGUAUAAUUCUUUUAGUGAUCGGUGUUUGUUUUAUUGUUUAGGUGUUUUUACUUUUCGCGCCCGAUUUAUAUUUUUUGUGUUCGUAAAAUUUGUAUAUUUUGUUUCUUGUAAGUUUUUGUUUUGUCACAGAGGUUUUAGUUAUUGCAUAUAUGUGUUUGUGUGUAUCGAAAAUUAAGUUUUCGAUGUAGUGGAACUUACUUGCCGACUUGAUAAAAUACAUUCCGUGGCUAACAGAUGGCGCUAAUUUCGAAAUCAUUCAAAAUCGAAAAUUUGUCGAGAUCUAUUCGUUGAUCAGUGAACUGCGUAAAUUGGCAAGAAUGGAGAAUUUAUAAAUUAUGUUUUAAAUGUGUAAUUUAUUUAUUAAAAACGCACCAACGGAAAUCAACCAACCAAUACAAAUCACUCAUAUCCCAUAUGUGAGAAUCAUGACUACUGGCGGGCUAUUUAGCACAAACGCAUCCUAUUUGCAUCUUGUGGUCAGACACACCACAUACAAAAAACAUAUAUGUAUACUAGAGGACCCGCCCAAGUUUUACUGUGGCUGUUACAUAGGUAGUACUACUAAUACCAUCUAUAUGAUUUCUAUUAGUUAGAUUAUAAAUAUUAUUUAAGGAAUAAUCGCAUUUUUGGUGAAGCAACUUGUGUUAGUUUACAAAAAAAGAAUCAUAAAGAAUUUCGUGCGUUAAGAAAGAAUUGGUUUUUGGGGUAAAAAUACUAUUGAAUUUGGGCUGUGCAUCAGUGAAAUCAAUCGAGUCCAAUCGAUUGUCAGCCUAGUGAACUGCAUAUUAAGAAACGGUUCUCAAGCGUGAAAAGAGAAAAAAAUCGGCUGGCAAGGUUAUGGCAUCAGUCUUUUGGGAUGCCCGUGAUAUAUUAUGUAUUCAUGGUUCCCGUUUAAAUAUUGCAUUGCUCUGUGCAAUGCUUCGAAAAGAUUUCUGUAUAUCUCAUAUUUUAAUAGACCUUUUUAUCAACACUUCAGUUAUGCCACUAUUUUUUAUGCCAGACCUUUUGCAAUUGUAAAUUGCCUGUCAAGAUACAGAAAAUUUAUAUAUAUAAAGAUAUACAUAGAAUAGGUCGACUUCCUAAACGCAGGUUGCAAUGCAUAUUUACAAUGCAUAUAGUUCCUAAAGUCAUACUUGAAUUUUCUGGCAACGCCUAAUGUUUCUAAUUAGUUGGCAACUCAGUUUUAAACGCAUCAGAUGUUUAAAGCGUGCAUCAAUUUUAUUUGGUAUGCAGAACAGACAAUGGCAGAAGAAAAAAAAGUGGACACACGAGCGGAAGAAAUUAUUAAUAACAACAAGGCUUCGCCAUGAAGCAGAAUUUUCCGGCAAAAAAAGAAAGAGAAAUACAAUUUGGGAGUCGAUUUUAAGGGAAAUGAGGGACGUUGAGAGCUCGUUUCCAUUUUCAAGAGAUGAAAUAACGAGGUGUUUUCUCAACAUAAUGGGGACUUAUAAGCGUAUAAAGAAGAGAAACAGUACUUCUGGCGAAGCAGCAUCAAAUUGGGAAUAUUUUAGCGAAAUCGAUGAAGUGUUUGGGAGUCGUUCUAGUAUUGAAGUCCCACUAGAAAUGACCGAGUAUUCUAUAAUUUCAUUGGAAAGUCCUUCCACCACAGCAACAAUUGACGGAAUGGAUGUAACACCUACAACAUCAGUUAAAAGAAAGAGAUUUGACGUAAUCGAAUUCUUAGAGAAAGAAUCCGAAAAGGAAAACGAAGCUAUAAAUAAGCUUAUAAAAAUAGAAAGUGAAAGACUUGAAGUUGAAAAAGAAAAACUUACAGAAUUAAAGCAACUACGGGCUUUAUUUGAAAACCCAGGAUAGUUUAUAAAUAAUAUAAAUAAUUACUAUUAUAUAAUUAUAAGAAAUAUAUAUAUAUAUAUAUAUAUGUUAUAGUUUUGAAAGUUCCUAUCUUAUGAAAUAAAAUACAUUUAUGUUCAUGUUA